rnacentral:rRNA from 1 species
GACGAACGCUGGCGGCGUGCUUAACACAUGCAAGUCGUACGGUAAGGCCCUUUCGGGGGUACACGAGUGGCGAACGGGUGAGUAACACGUGAGUAACCUGCCCACAACUUUGGGAUAACGCUAGGAAACUGGUGCUAAUACUGGAUAUGUGCUCCUGCUGCAUGGUGGGGGUUGGAAAGCUCCGGCGGUUGUCGAUGGACUCGCGGCCUAUCAGCUUGUUGGUGGGGUAGUGGCCUACCAAGGCGGCGACGGGUAGCCGGCCUGAGAGGGUGACCGGCCACAUUGGGACUGAGAUACGGCCCAGACUCCUACGGGAGGCAGCAGUGGGGAAGAUUGCACAAUGGGCGCAAGCCUGAUGCAGCAACGCCGCGUGCGGGAUGACGGCCUUCGGGUUGUAAACCGCUUUCAGCAGGGACGAAGCUUUUUGUGACGGUACCUGCAGAAGAAGCACCGGCUAACUACGUG